AGUACAUCUCCAGAGGCAGUAGCAUUUUGAAGACAGUAUGUCGGCAGGGUAGUGAAUGACCCAAAGACGACUUACGGGAGAAAGCCAAGCUACAAGGAGGAUUAGUACUGUUGAGGAGUGGUGGUGCACACCUUCAAUCCCAGCACUCGGCAAGCAGAGGCAGGUGGAUCACUGAGUUCAAGGCCAGCCUGGUCUACAGAGCGAGUUCCAGGACAACACCCUGUCUCAAACAAACCAACCAAACCAAAAAACUAAACCAACCCAAAAGAGGAUCUUCAUCCUGCAGCCUACGAAGAGAUGAGGGGCAUGCAAGCUGGCGAGCAGGAGGACUGGGAGUACCACAGCCUGGGGCACAUGGAUGACAGCCAGCUGGAAGGGCGUCACAUUCUUUAUCUGGAACAUUCUUCCUCUGGUGUCCAUGUGUCCAUCUGAGGCUCUGCUCCAGUGUUCCUUAACCAGUGAGGCAUACCCUGGACACCUGUAUAGCAGUGACAACACUCCCUGCCUUCAACUGUCCCUAAGAUUUCUGAGCACAGCCCAGCAGUUCAGACUCUGUUCACAGGAUUUCUAAACAAGGAUGCCCCUGGCUGUGCCGUCCUGAGACUACGAAAUCUCUGUCCCAGAGAGCCUGUAUAGGUGCAGGUGGUGGCAAGUGGCCUGGAAGGCAGCAGCUAAUAGCAGUGCAGGAGCAAGGCUUAGAGAAAAAGAAAAACUGCAAAGGACAACCAGCUUCAGCCACUAGAGGGGGCUCUGGGUCUUCAAACCGCCAGGCUGAUUCCAUUAUGCACCCCCCGCCCCCCAGCCCCAAAGGAGGCAAUUCUGUGAGAUUCUCCCCAGGGCCACACCUGGGUUUGCAAAAAUUUGCAUGCUGUUUGACAACUAUAUACUUCUUAUCAAGCAA
rnacentral:lncRNA from 1 species